rnacentral:rRNA from 1 species
CCUACGGGAGGCAGCAGUGAGGAAUAUUGGUCAAUGGGCUUACGCCUGAACCAGCCAAGUCGCGUGAGGGAAGACUGCCCUAUGGGUUGUAAACCUCUUUUGUCAGGGAGCAACGCCGGCUACGUGUAGCCGGACUGAGAGUACCUGAAGAAAAAGCAUCGGCUAACUCCGUGCCAGCAGCCGCGGUAAUACGGAGGAUGCGAGCGUUAUCCGGAUUGAUUGGGUUUACAGGGUGCGUAGGCGGAAUGCCAAGUCAGCGGUAAAAUCGCGGGGCUCAACCUCGCCCCGCCGUUGAAACUGGCGUUCUUGAGUGGGCGAGAAGUAUGCGGAAUGCGUGGUGGAGCGGUGAAAUGCAUAGAUAUCACGCAGAACUCCGAUUGCGAAGGCAGCAUACCGGCGCCCAACUGACGCUGAAGCACGAAAGCGUGGGUAUCGAACAGGAUUAGAUACCCGAGUAGUC